GUGGAUUUAACAGGUGACGUCAAUAAGGGACCAUAGCUUUCACCUGGAUUCACCUGUUUCCUACACUCAGUAUAUAUUAUUUGUUGGUCCUUCCUUCCGGGAACCAAGUUUAUAUACAUGGCUGGAACAUUUUCCCAUGCAGUUAGUUGCAUUGUUUCAAAUAACAUAGAUACAACUUCACCACUUUCCUGAAGAGCCUCAGAAGUUACAAAUCAAUGAGCUGAGAUCAAGGAGAUCAUGCAAGGGAUAAAACGUUGUGUCACAAGGAGGUUGUGGAUAUAAUGGAAUACCAGCAGCAAGAAUGCGGCAAGGAGGUCAGAGUGCUGCUGUUAGGUGACACAGAGCUGAUUUGAUUGUACAGUUCAAACGAAGUGGUUCAAAUGAAUCAAAUCUGGUUUAGAGAUUGAGUGGUGUAACGUAUAUGCUGGGAGUCAGGAAACAGGUGCAGAAGUUCAAACAAAGUGGUUCAAAUGAAUAAAAUCUGGUUUAGAGAUUGA
rnacentral:lncRNA from 1 species